rnacentral:rRNA from 1 species
AUUGAACGCUGGCGGCAGGCCUAACACAUGCAAGUCGAGCGAGUGGCGGACGGGUGAGUAAUGUCUGGGGAACUGCCCGAUAGAGGGGGAUAACUACUGGAAACGGUGGCUAAUACCGCAUACCAUCGGAUGUACCCAGAUGGGAUUAGCUAGUGGGUGGGGUAAAGGCUCACCUAGGCGACGAUCCCUAGCUGGUCUGAGAGGAUGAUCAGCCACACUGGGACUGAGACACGGCCCAGACUCCUACGGGAGGCAGCAGUGGGGAAUAUUGCACAAUGGGCGCAAGCCUGAUGCAGCCAUGCCGCGUGUAUGAAGAAGGCCUUAGGGUUGUAAAGUACUUUCAGCGGGGAGGCGUUACCCGCAGAAGAAGCACCGGCUAACUCCGUGCCAGCAGCCGCGGUAAUUC